UUGCUAGUUUACUUCAGCAGCACAUAUACUAAAAUUGGAACCAUACAGGGAAGAUUAGCAUGGCCCCUGCACAAAGAUGACAUGCAUUUCAUACUUUU
ensembl:snRNA U6 U6 spliceosomal RNA